rnacentral:rRNA from 1 species
AGAGUUUGAUCAUGGCUCAGGACGAACGCUGGCGGCGUGCCUAAUACAUGCAAGUUGAGCGAUGAAGAUUGGUGCUUGCACCAAUUUGAAGAGCAGCGAACGGGUGAGUAACGCGUGGGGAAUCUGCCUUUGAGCGGGGGACAACAUUUGGAAACGAAUGCUAAUACCGCAUAACAACUUUAAACAUAAGUUUUAAGUUUGAAAGAUGCAAUUGCAUCACUCAAAGAUGAUCCCGCGUUGUAUUAGCUAGUUGGUGAGGUAAAGGCUCACCAAGGCGAUGAUACAUAGCCGACCUGAGAGGGUGAUCGGCCACAUUGGGACUGAGACACGGCCCAAACUCCUACGGGAGGCAGCAGUAGGGAAUCUUCGGCAAUGGACGAAAGUCUGACCGAGCAACGCCGCGUGAGUGAAGAAGGUUUUCGGAUCGUAAAACUCUGUUGGUAGAGAAGAACGUUGGUGAGAGUGGAAAGCUCAUCAAGUGACGGUAACUACCCAGAAAGGGACGGCUAACUACGUGCCAGCAGCCGCGGUAAUACGUAGGUCCCGAGCGUUGUCCGGAUUUAUUGGGCGUAAAGCGAGCGCAGGUGGUUUAUUAAGUCUGGUGUAAAAGGCAGUGGCUCAACCAUUGUAUGCAUUGGAAACUGGUAGACUUGAGUGCAGGAGAGGAGAGUGGAAUUCCAUGUGUAGCGGUGAAAUGCGUAGAUAUAUGGAGGAACACCGGUGGCGAAAGCGGCUCUCUGGCCUGUAACUGACACUGAGGCUC